UGCCUCCUCCACCCCAUUUGGCUCCAUACCAGAACUCCCUGCACCUCCAAGAAAGUGUUACUGGCAAGACAACCAGACCUCAGAUCUUGUCCUCUUGAAGGAAAGAUUUCAAUCAAGAGACAACGUGUAGCAAAAAAAUCAGAAAUCCCAUCCAUGACUGGAAUUAUAUUUCUCAGCUCUGCUCUCGAAGGCCUGUAGGAACAUCGAUGAUGUCUUCAGUUUGCUCCUGCCUUGGGGCUUCUCUUGCUUUGGGGUGGUUCACGUGCAGAUUGAUGAUGUAUGCCCAAAGGGGCUUCAUUCCAACUCCACUUUUAGUUGUUGAAUUUGGUCACAAAUUUUAAAAAUAAAUGUCUCCCUUCCA